CUGAUGUUUAUAGCAGCAUUAGCAACAAUAGCCAAAUUAGGGAAAGAGUCUAAACAUCCAUCAACUGACAAAUGGAUAAAGAAGAUGUGAAUAGGGAAUUCCUGUCUAUUUGUUAUGAUAUUUUAAUUAUGGUGUCCCCAGGAAUAAUCCCACAGCAAUCAGGCUUGUGCUUGCAGGAUGGUUCCCUGCCUGUAACCUCACUAGGAGUGAGCAGCUAACCGACGCUGGCGCAGCUAGCCUCUCUCACAUGAACUUGAAUUGUGGGGUAUAGAGCCUGCAGUUGGGAGCUGCCAGCCAUCCCAAUACUUCUCCAUCAUCUGCAGUUUUGCUUUCUGAGGUUUCAGUCUCCCCAUAGUCAGCCUGGAUCAGGAUCCCAAAGCAGAUGAGCCUCCUUCUCAUGAAUCAUCAGAUAUCACAGUGCCUAUUCAUUCAUUCACCUCAUGGCAUCUCACCAUGUAGGCAUUCUUCAUUUCAGAUCACCACAAGAAGAUGAAGAUUUUCCAUGGCCUCAGCUUCCCAUCUCUGGUCAUAAGAAUGUUCUUUUCUCCACUAUCACUACUGAGUAUGGAUGCUAAGAUUCUCAACAAGAUCCUAGCAAACAGGAUUCAACAGCACA